UUUUUUUUUUUUCAUAAUCCCAUUGGUUGGUUAGGUCUGCGAGGCGGUUGAAGACGAGCAAAGGCCUUUCCUGGGUGUAUAAAAUAAAACACCGACGAAGAGGCGGCAGACUCGAGGUGGUGGGAGUAGUGAACACCGCGAACGAGCUCCAAAGAUGAAAAGUGGGGGAAAGGCGGCGGCGGUGGCGGUGGCGGCGGCGGAAGCGUGGGAACCAAGCGUAACAGAUGGCCUCGACUGCUUCCGAACGAGCUCGGACUCCUUCGUGCGUCUUCGUGGGAUAGGGCCUGCUUUUCGCUCGCGCGUGCUCGACAGAAAGGUUGAGACGCAGACAUCAUCAUCGUCAUCCCCCUUUCGAAAGCAACCAACCACUGAGACCAUCCUCCGAGCCGGAAUGCUCGCAUCGGUCAGCUGCUCCUUGUGUAAAACUAAACUUCCUGUGCCACGUGUACAUCUGCUCCUCUUACAUAUACAUAUGAGCGAGUUUACGACUUGUGUAUGUGUCUGUUUAUAUGUGUAUAUAUUUUGAGCAAAGCGAAGGAGGAAAGAAAAAAAGGAAAGAGAAAAGAAUUAUGCUGCGAUGUAUUUAUGGCAGGCGAAAGGAUGGUUACGCAGUUGCACUUGGAAGACAAUGCGACGAUAAGAACGCUUUCAGAAGCAAAUGCAACGACCGGAUGUAAGUUUGCGAAACUUGCCUGAGCAAUUAACAAGGCUACUUUAUAUCUUUAAUUCUUCAUUUUACCGUAUGUGUUCAUUAAAAAAAAAAUAAUAAUAAUCCACUUAAGAGAAAAGUGUAUUUAUAAUUAUUUAUUCAGAUUAGUAUGUCCCUAGUCCAAACUAAAUUGGAUCCACAUGUGCUCAGCAUUGAAACGACUAUUUUUAGCUAAGAUAUUAGAGAAUAUAUGUGUCUAUGCAUAUAUAUAUAUAUAUGUAUGUAUGUAUGUAUGUAUGUAUGUAUGUGUAUAUAUAUAUAUACACAUUAAUAUACGUACUAAUCAUGCGUGCGUGAGUAUCAUUUGUAGAAGAUUUCAAUUAACUACAUCGUCGUCAUCGUCGAGCUGACAAAAGCGAAAACAAGGGACUAAUUGCGAGCGAUGGAAGGGGACCGGAAACUGAAACUAUUACGACCGGUUUUCGAGCCAGUCGAUUCAUCCAGUAUAUGCUUAUGUUAGUUAUAACCCUAAUGACGAAAACAUAUAAAACAUCUGCAAAGACACGCGUGAAACUACAUUUCGCUUUGCCUUCGAUCUUCGGUCUCGAUUCGAAAAUAUCAAUGAAUGACGAAAAUGCUCGAAUAAAAAGGAUUACUUAUAAAAAAAAAGAAACUAUUUGAUUAUGCAAACUCCCGUUUGAAACCAUUCCAAAUACGAAGUGAACACCUUGUAUUAUUUCUUACGUACGGUUGAGUAACCGCACGGUAGACACACGCACAUAUAUAUAUAUACAUAUUUACGUGGGUACGUCUCGGGCACUGGGAGACUCCUAUCAUAAAACGGCCGAGUGAAAGGAUAAGCCGCGAGUUCAUCUCGAGUCUCAACAAACCAAUCUUCUCGAGCAUUCAGACGUGCCAUCGAAGAGUCAUUUAAACGAUUGG